rnacentral:rRNA from 1 species
GUUUCAGCCGCCGCGGUAAGACGGAAGGUGCAAGCGUUGCUCGGAAUCACUGGGCGUAAAGGGUGCGUAGGCGGCCUGGUAAGUCUGGCGUGAAAGCCCAGGGCUCAGCCCUGGAAGUGCGCUAGAAACUGCAAGGCUAGAGUGCCGGAGGGGAGAGUGGAAUUCCUGGUGUAGCGGUGAAAUGCGUAGAUAUCAGGAGGAAUACCGGUGGCGAAAGCGACUCUCUGGACGGCAACUGACGCUGAGGCACGAAAGCGUGGGGAGCAAACAGGAUUAGAUACCCUAGUAGUCC